rnacentral:rRNA from 1 species
UGCGGAGGGUGCAAGCGUUUGUCCGGAUUUAUUGGGUUUAAAGGGUGCGUAGGCGGCUCUUUAAGUCAGUGGUGAAAUCCUACAGCUUAACUGUAGAACAGCCAUUGAUACUGAAGAGCUUGAGUACAGACGAGGUAGGCGGAAUUUAUGGUGUAGCGGUGAAAUGCAUAGAUACCAUAAAGAACUCCUAUUGCGAAGGCAGCUUACUAGGCUGUAACUGACGCUGAGGCACGAAAGCGUGGGGAUCAAACAGG